GAUUCUCGGAACCCUAACAUUACAGAACUAUAAACCUACAAGCUUCAAACACUGUCAGACAUGCAAUAUGUAACGUUCUUUGUCUUUGACAACAAAGGUACAUUUUGUGGCUUUUACAUUUACCUCUGCUGAACUGCAUUAAAAUCUCUCUAAACAUCCCGCAGUGUUAUCUUUGCUCAUUUAAAAGAAAUUAUGCUGCAUGAGGAGUGGAAUGUUUGGCAUGUAACCAAACCUUUUCCACCCCCACUAUAAAUUGGCCACAGGUCCCCAAGUAUCACUGGAGCUUUUUUUUCUUCUUUUGCACCACUCCCUUUUCCUGUUUUCCCUCCUGUUCCCUCUCGGCUGUAUUUAAGGCCGUGCCAUUACCCAGCCCACAUUAUAAGCUGAAUCUAAACUUCACUAUCUUGGAAGACAUUUAUUAAACCUGGAAAAAAUGGAAGGGACGCGCUCAACUGAAAAAACGUAUCUUGUAUGGUCCAUCUUCAACACUUUUUGUUGCUGUUUUCCACUUGGAGUUGCAGCUAUUAUAUUCUCAUGCAGAGCAGACACUGCUAAUUCACUCGGAGAUGGAACAAAAGCGCGGGAGUCCUCCAGGACAGCCAGGAAUCUGAAUAUUGCUGCAGUGGUGAUCGGGAUCAUUUGCCUCAUUAUUAUUAUCGUGUCCUAUAUGAUCCCAAAGGGACAAUGAUUGAAGCAACAUUAUGGAGUGACUGUGAUUUUUUUUUUUAAACAUCUGUUGCUGAUCAAGGAUGAUGAAGCCCAGUAGGGAUCAGGCACGCAAUCACAGCCACAUGUUGCUUAGAUUUAUGAGGAAACUGGUUAAAAUGUGCUCAAAAUCUACAAAAAUGUACUUUUGAAGGUAACACGCAUUAUUCCAAGAUUUUUCGAAAAUGUUUGUUGUUUCGAAAACAUUUUUUGGACUUUAUAAGGUCCGCAUCAUAUAAAAAACAACAUGUAUUGUUUCAUAGUUUAAGCCUAUUUAGUAUGUAUGCAUUGUUCUUAUCUUACACAAUGUUUUAAGAUCAUGUACCUUUAUCUAUAUAAAGUCAUUUAUACAAGCUAAAGAGCUUAACCAUUUGUUUCUUUUAUUUUAUACCACUGUACUGUAUAUUAUUGCUAUGAUGUUCAAGCCUUUUAUUUUUCUACUCAUCAUUUUUGAUAGAAGCCUUUCAAACUCAAUCUAUUAAACCUCUAUUAAAUAGUCA